GUUAAGCGACUAAGCGUACACGGUGGAUGCCCUGGCAGUCAGAGGCGAUGAAGGACGUGCUAAUCUGCGAUAAGCGUCGGUAAGGUGAUAUGAACCGUUAUAACCGGCGAUUUCCGAAUGGGGAAACCCAGUGUGUUUCGACACACUAUCAUUAACUGAAUCCAUAGGUUAAUGAGGCGAACCGGGGGAACUGAAACAUCUAAGUACCCCGAGGAAAAGAAAUCAACCGAGAUUCCCCCAGUAGCGGCGAGCGAACGGGGAGCAGCCCAGAGCCUGAAUCAGUGUGUGUGUUAGUGGAAGCGUCUGGAAAGGCGCGCGAUACAGGGUGACAGCCCCGUACACAAAAAUGCACAUGCUGUGAGCUCGAUGAGUAGGGCGGGACACGUGGUAUCCUGUCUGAAUAUGGGGGGACCAUCCUCCAAGGCUAAAUACUCCUGACUGACCGAUAGUGAACCAGUACCGUGAGGGAAAGGCGAAAAGAACCCCGGCGAGGGGAGUGAAAAAGAACCUGAAACCGUGUACGUACAAGCAGUGGGAGCACGCUUAGGCGUGUGACUGCGUACCUUUUGUAUAAUGGGUCAGCGACUUAUAUUCUGUAGCAAGGUUAACCGAAUAGGGGAGCCGAAGGGAAACCGAGUCUUAACUGGGCGUUAAGUUGCAGGGUAUAGACCCGAAACCCGGUGAUCUAGCCAUGGGCAGGUUGAAGGUUGGGUAACACUAACUGGAGGACCGAACCGACUAAUGUUGAAAAAUUAGCGGAUGACUUGUGGCUGGGGGUGAAAGGCCAAUCAAACCGGGAGAUAGCUGGUUCUCCCCGAAAGCUAUUUAGGUAGCGCCUCGUGAAUUCAUCUCCGGGGGUAGAGCACUGUUUCGGCAAGGGGGUCAUCCCGACUUACCAACCCGAUGCAAACUGCGAAUACCGGAGAAUGUUAUCACGGGAGACACACGGCGGGUGCUAACGUCCGUCGUGAAGAGGGAAACAACCCAGACCGCCAGCUAAGGUCCCAAAGUCAUGGUUAAGUGGGAAACGAUGUGGGAAGGCCCAGACAGCCAGGAUGUUGGCUUAGAAGCAGCCAUCAUUUAAAGAAAGCGUAAUAGCUCACUGGUCGAGUCGGCCUGCGCGGAAGAUGUAACGGGGCUAAACCAUGCACCGAAGCUGCGGCAGCGACGCUUAUGCGUUGUUGGGUAGGGGAGCGUUCUGUAAGCCUGUGAAGGUGUGCUGUGAGGCAUGCUGGAGGUAUCAGAAGUGCGAAUGCUGACAUAAGUAACGAUAAAGCGGGUGAAAAGCCCGCUCGCCGGAAGACCAAGGGUUCCUGUCCAACGUUAAUCGGGGCAGGGUGAGUCGACCCCUAAGGCGAGGCCGAAAGGCGUAGUCGAUGGGAAACAGGUUAAUAUUCCUGUACUUGGUGUUACUGCGAAGGGGGGACGGAGAAGGCUAUGUUGGCCGGGCGACGGUUGUCCCGGUUUAAGCGUGUAGGCUGGUUUUCCAGGCAAAUCCGGAAAAUCAAGGCUGAGGCGUGAUGACGAGGCACUACGGUGCUGAAGCAACAAAUGCCCUGCUUCCAGGAAAAGCCUCUAAGCAUCAGGUAACAUCAAAUCGUACCCCAAACCGACACAGGUGGUCAGGUAGAGAAUACCAAGGCGCUUGAGAGAACUCGGGUGAAGGAACUAGGCAAAAUGGUGCCGUAACUUCGGGAGAAGGCACGCUGAUAUGUAGGUGAAGUCCCUCGCGGAUGGAGCUGAAAUCAGUCGAAGAUACCAGCUGGCUGCAACUGUUUAUUAAAAACACAGCACUGUGCAAACACGAAAGUGGACGUAUACGGUGUGACGCCUGCCCGGUGCCGGAAGGUUAAUUGAUGGGGUUAGCGGUAACGCGAAGCUCUUGAUCGAAGCCCCGGUAAACGGCGGCCGUAACUAUAACGGUCCUAAGGUAGCGAAAUUCCUUGUCGGGUAAGUUCCGACCUGCACGAAUGGCGUAAUGAUGGCCAGGCUGUCUCCACCCGAGACUCAGUGAAAUUGAACUCGCUGUGAAGAUGCAGUGUACCCGCGGCAAGACGGAAAGACCCCGUGAACCUUUACUAUAGCUUGACACUGAACAUUGAGCCUUGAUG
rnacentral:rRNA from 1 species